rnacentral:rRNA from 1 species
UAAUACGAAGGGCCCGAGCGUUAUUCAGAAUCACUGGGCUUAAAGCGUACGUAGGCGGACUUGUAGGCGUUUUGUGAAAUCCCUCGGCUCAACCGAGGAAUUGCAGAGCGAACCAUAAGUCUUGAGACAGACAGAGGUCGUCGGAACGAUUGGUGGAGUGGUGAAAUGCGUUGAUAUCAAUCGGAACGCCGAAGGAGAAGUCAGGCGACUGGGUCUGUUCUGACGCUGAGGUACGAAAGCGUGGGUAGCGAACGGGAUUAGAUACCCCGGUAGUCCACGCCGUAAACGAUGUGCACUAGGUCGAGGGCGUUCUGACGCGACUCUCGGCCGAAGCGAAAGUGUUAAGUGCACCGCCUGGGGAGUACGGUCGCAAGGCUA